UUCAGUAGCUUCCUGUGUGAUCUAGCUUUCCAAAUUUUUAUGGUAUCAACCUUACUGUAUGGGCUAGAUAUCCACCAAAUUGGAGCUCCGUUUGACAACGUUUACUAUUUUUAAAAAAUCAAUGUUUCCGAUUGCUCAAAACUGCCGAAUAUGGUAGACCGUGGUAAAAACGCCAUAUCUCCCAAACCACUUGGAGUUUCUGACUCUACUUUUUUUUAAAAUGAAACUAGACUCAAAUACCUUUCUUUUGGUAUGCGUCUGGAGUCCAGGAGAUGUCGGAGUCAGAACGUGUUAAAUUUUGAAGUUGAGUCAGUGGGAAAACAGAACCUGAUUUGUUGAUGUUUGAUUGUAUUUUCUUAUGUGCCUUAUGUGUUUAUGUUGCCUAAGUGUUUUAAUGAGAUUAGACGAGUCUUAUAUGAGAGAUAAAUCGAGACUUAGAACCAUGAUUUUCUUGAAACCUAUCCUUGGACUUAAGGAUUUGAAAUGAGUGAAGAAGUUUAUGUAGAGUCGAUUAAGAGAUAGAAUAUAAGAUAGAGCAUGAGUUAAGGCAUGAGUUUUUGUCGUUGAGUUCUAAUCGAGAUUCAUUUUAUGACAUGAACCUUCGAUGAUGACGAUGAUCCCUGAAGACACGAGCAGAGCAGGGAAGUAAGUAACUCCGCUUUGACGGGAGUUUUUGAGUAAGGUCUUCAGACUAAGCGAGGAGCGAGAUUGGUCUGGUGCUGGCGGGGAAAUGUUGGAGGAUGUAUUUACUUUAUCGUAUUUCCAUUUUGACGAUAAAGUCUUGAUGAUUGAUAUACUUAAAUUUUCUUUUGAAGUUAAGCAAUGUACUCACGGUUAUAUGUCUUCAUACAUAUAAUCGGUUCGCCUUUUGCUGCGAUACUCUGCAUAUUAUGAUUCCUUACGAAAAAUGAGCGAUACCCGUUUUGUUUUUGUUCGUGAAAUUCCUGAUAAUUAAAAAGUUAUAACGACAUUGACGAUUUUA